rnacentral:rRNA from 1 species
CCUACGGGUGACUGCAGUGGGGAAUAUUGCACAAUGGGGGAAACCCUGAUGCAGCGACGCCGCGUGAGCGAUGAAGCAUUUCGGUAUGUAAAGCUCUAUCAGCAGGGAAGAAAAUGACGGUACCUGCUCAAGAAGCCCCGGCUAAAUACGUGCCAGCAGCCGCGGUAAUACGUAGGGGGCAAGCGUUAUCCGGAUUUACUGGGUGUAAAGGGAGCGUAGGCGGCGGUGCAAGUCAGAUGUGAAACCCCGGGGCUCAACCCCGGGACUGCAUUUGAAACUGUAUUGCUGGAGUGCCGGAGAGGCAGGCGGAAUUCCUAGUGUAGCGGUGAAAUGCGUAGAUAGUAGGAGGAACACCAGUGGCGAAGGCGGCCUGCUGGACGGUAACUGACGUUGAGGCUCGAAAGCGUGGGGAGCAAACAGGAUUAGAUACCCUUGUAGUC